CCAGCGUGGUCGUCUCAGAUGUUGUCGAGCAUUUCCUCACAAAAAAGAAAGAAAGAAAGAAAGAAAGAAAGAGAGAAUAGAAAUGAAAAAGGAAGCCAGCAGAUGCAGGAAAAAUGAAGCCUUGGUCCGCUCAUCCAGAUGUUACAUCAUGCCAGAAACGAGGGCAAGCAGAGCAGCACAGAGGAGGAAAAGUGAAGAAAUGUCGCUGAGUGCUGAGUGGAAGACUAGUGAUUUUGUUGCGAUGCUCAUCAAAAGAACAACAAGUCCCAGUCUGCCUCUCAGCACAAGCCGAAACUCUUCGGUCUCAACUCACAACCAGCUCACAUUUCACGCCUCGUCGCCUAUUUAUUUAUCACGCCCCCUUUUUUACGCUCUUUUACCCACCGUGUGGGUCUUAAUGGCUGGAAACGAUUGACUGCAUCAUCCAAACUCGAAUAGAUCGAUGCUAUUUUAAGACACUGCAGUUUGCACUCAAGUCCCAAUAAUAUGUCACAUAUGUGUUUAUAUUACUACUCUAUUAUUGACCUUAAUAAAGCCCUGUUCAAAUCUC